rnacentral:rRNA from 1 species
GGGUCGUAAACUUCUUUUAUAUGGGAAUAAAGUUUUCCACGUGUGGAAUUUUGUAUGUACCAUAUGAAUAAGGAUCGGCUAACUCCGUGCCAGCAGCCGCGGUAAUACGGAGGAUCCGAGCGUUAUCCGGAUUUAUUGGGUUUAAAGGGAGCGUAGGUGGAUUGUUAAGUCAGUUGUGAAAGUUUGCGGCUCAACCGUAAAAUUGCAGUUGAAACUGGCAGUCUUGAGUACAGUAGAGGUGGGCGGAAUUCGUGGUGUAGCGGUGAAAUGCUUAGAUAUCACGAAGAACUCCGAUUGCGAAGGCAGCUCACUAGACUGUCACUGACACUGAUGCUCGAAAGUGUGGGUAUCAAACAGGAUUGGAUACCCUGGUAGUCCACACAGUAAA